rnacentral:antisense_RNA from 1 species
AAUUAUGGCGGCUUUGCGUGGGAGACCUUCGGGUCUGCCGGUUUUUUCCGGAUGCACCGGUUCGCCAACCCGCGCAAGCUGCCACCCUU